rnacentral:rRNA from 1 species
AACGCGAAGAACCUUACCUACGUUGAACUACGCGGGAAAAGCCAUGGAGACAUGGUGUCCGAAAGGGUCCGCGAUAGGUGGUGCAUGGCUGUCGUCAGCUCGUGUCGUGAGAUGUUGGGUUAAGUCCCGCAACGAGCGCAACCCUUGUCCUAUGUUGCCAGCGGGUAAUGCCGGGGACUCGUAGGAGACUGCCGGGGUCAACUCGGAGGAAGGUGGGGAUGACGUCAAGUCUGCAUGCCCCUUACGCGUAGGGCUGCUAACAUGCUACAAUGGCCGGUACAAAGGGCUGCUAAUCCGCGAGGAGGAGCGAAUCCCAAAAAGCCGGUCUCAGUUCGGAUUGGAGUCUGCAACUCGACUCCAUGAAGUCGGAGUCGCUAGUAAUCCCGGAUCAGCUACGCCGGGGUGAAUACGUUCCCGGGCCUUGUACACACCGGCUAC